UAUCUCUGUAGAGUCUGCAUAUCAAUAAGCGGAGGAAAAGAAACUAACUAGGAUUCCCUCAGUAACGGCGAGUGAAGCGGGAAGAGCUCAAAUUUGAAAUCUUCAAGGUUCUACCUUGACGAAUUGUAGUUUAAAGAAGUGUUUUCUGUUGGAGUUUUGGUAAAAGUUCUUUGGAAUAGGACAUCAUAGAGGGUGAGAAUCCCGUAUUUGACCAUUAUUUCCAACUUUGUGAUACACUUUCAAAGAGUCGGAUUGUUUGGGAAUGCAGUCCAAAAUGGGUGGUAAAUUUCAUCUAAAGCUAAAUACUGGCGAGAGACCGAUAGCGAACAAGUACCGUGAGGGAAAGAUGAAAAGAACUUUGAAAAGAGAGUUAAACAGUACGUGAAAUUGUCAAAAGGGAAGCGUUUGACACCAGUGUUGUUUUCUCGAAAAUCAAUUAAAAAUGGCGGGAUUUUGUGUUGUAUUGACUUUAUCAGCUUUCUGCACUUUUUUCUUGUCUUUUUUAAUGCACUUUUCGUUUAACAAGUCAACAUCAAUUUCUUUUGUUGUAAAAGGGUCAUUGGAAGGUGGCUUUCUUUUCGGAGAAAGUGUUUAUAGCCUUUGACUUCUGCAAUCGGAGAGAUUGAGGUCUGCAGCGUAGAUCCUUCGGGGUUAGAUAGCAUUUGUGCUAAGUUAUAGCCUUUCAUAGACAACUUGUUGACUAUGAUCAGUCAUGUAGCUUACUCGCUUAUGCUAUUUUACCUACGCUUAGGAUGUUGAACGCGCACAGAGUCUC
rnacentral:rRNA from 1 species